UCAAUAUGCCCAAAAAUUGACGAGAGCCUGAUUCCACCACGCUGCCUCACCCCUCACAUAUAUUAUGUAUUAAUUGAAUUCACUGGAGACUACUAGGACUUGUUGGCAUGAACGAAGCCAUGGAUAGAGAGGUAGAAACUACUAGGACUUGUUGGCAUGAACGAAGCCAUGGAUAGAGAGGAAGAAACUGCUGGGUCUACUGUGGUCUUUCUAUUUAAUGCUGCCUUGUAGUGGACUAAACCUCUGAUAGAUCCUUUGUCUAUUUUUUCACAUCUUGAUAUAAUAUGUUACAUAUAUGAUGUCUAUGUGUCCGUUUGUUUGUUUUUGAGCUCAUGUUUGUAUACAUAACACAGAUAUGUUUUUUUGUCUGAUUGCGUGUGACGUAUGGUGUGUGCACAGGAAUUUUUGCGCCUCUUGUCCAAGAUGUGUUUGAAGGAAGACAGACAUUUGAAAGGGAAAAAAGAAUUAUAAGAAAAUCUU